CGAAUGGGCACGGUGUGUUCGGCGUAAACCGCGUCGGCUCCAUUUAGUUCAUCGAACUCAUCCUGGGAACAUUGUGACAUCAUAUCGCUACGACACAACCAUCCAUACUACCCACCAAUGGUGAAUCUUGCAACCUCCUGAAUCGAGCAGCGUGCAUGAACCGACGUUGGUAUUUAUAAA